CGGGAGCCGUGAAGCGCGGCGCGCGGCGGCGGGCGCGGAUGCCGCGGAAGGAAACGGCAACAUGAAUUCAUAGAUGAUGAGUAGGAUGCCAAAGCCAGAGAUGACAGUGCUCUUGAAGAAAUGCUGGGUAGAACAAAAAGAUCCAGCAGCUGUCUCAUCCUGACCUGUGGGUGACACUCUCAAAUUAGUCUAGCACUCAUCCUAGGCUGUCUGCUGCAAUAUUUUGUGAUGAGAACAAAAAAGAAAUGAGAUGGUCAAAUACAUAAGGUUAAAAUGUUUGAUCUGUCUUGCAAACAAGUUGCCUCCACAAAGACUGAAUUACUUUCUGCUACUCUGAUUGUUUUUACUGCAUUUUGUGUUCAUAUUGUUGAGAUGCCCCAAGGAAUCACUUCUUAUUGGUUCUUUCAUUCUGAGAAAUUAUAACUGAGGCAUGACAGUCCACUUAGGGACUUGGGAAGUGGAUUAAAUCACACCUGCACAGAGCCACGCAAUAGAAAGGCCUUGGUUAUAUUCAUCCAACAGCAGCAAAAGUGGUGGAAGGAACAGGCAGGGAGCAAGAAAAUCUUCAGUAGUAGGAGAUGUAUAGGAAUUACUUAAACCACUUGGCACUAAUAGCUCUUUGCAUUUUGAGCUGUGAUCAUAGCUGGAAGUAGGAGCUUGUAUUUCCUACCAGCUCUUCCAUCUCCAAAGUGAGUCUCUACCUUACCUCUAGCAGAAUGGCUGUAUGAAAAGUUAAUUUCUACUGUGUCAAUGAAAAUAUUAAUUGGGUUCGAUAUUAUGGUUUAUUGUUGCCUCUGCUUAGUAGAAAUACCUUCCCAUUUUUGUCAAUAAGGAGUAGCUCUGGAUGCUAUAGGAUGUGCUGAAGUCCUUGUUACACUUAGGCAGCGUGAUGUCAAAGGGGAGGAACAACAGCUGCUUCAGUUCCUUUAGUGCAAAUAUAGUCGUUUGCCCUAUGCUGUUUGGGAAAUGUAACCUAUGCUUGAAAUACUAUAUAAACAAUAUUAAAUACAUAUGUUUUUUAAUGGUUAGGAGUUGUGUAAGUGUAGUUGUGUGCUCAGUCAUGUAUAGUCCAGUGCUAAGCUGUGACCUGAAGCAGUGAUGGAGCACCUGGUGGGAAGGCAGGGCCAGCCCAGGGGAGCUCAGGUGUGUGCAAUGUACCUGAGAGACAGGAAGGGGUGGAGCCAGGAUCCACCCCUUCCCAGCCCUCAUUUAAGGGCUGGCAGUGGAGGUGAGGGUAUUGUGCUGGAGAUCCCUGUGUACCUGAGACCUUCUGAAGAAGAGGCCCGUCCUACCACACUCAUCUUUUGCCUUGGCUCGGGAAUGGCUUCAGACCUUAACAAAAGCAGAAAAUCAACAGGUCUUCUGAAAGAAGUUCCAUUCUCGUGAGAAUCUAAGGGAAAAUAUCCUUUUUGAGCGUUUAGUCACAUCAAAGGAAACAACCGCUUCAAUCUUCAUUUGCAUUGUGCAGGCAUUAGAUGUGGUCCAGUUACACUGAGCUCUGCUUGAGAAGGCAGAAGUGCCAGCACUCGUCAGGCUUUGACGAGAUGGAGAGAAAACUCAGCCAGGCAAAUAAUACAUCACUCUUCCAAGGCACUUUCCAUUUUUAAAAGGACAGAACAAUUUACUUUGUUUCUUGGGAGACUCUUUACAGCAAAAGCUCCUUGACAUCCAAUUCUAAGGAGGCAGGCUGAGCACUGAUCUCUUGGCCAUUAUGUUCCUGAAGUGAGGCUUAACUUGCAGCGAGCUCAGGACUGCUGCUGGACCGUGGCUUCGUUCCUAGCGCUCAGAGGCAGCAGAACCCUUCAGGGAGUUGUACACAGCUCUGUGGAAACCCCUCAGCCCAAGAGGAAAGCAGAAGGCUGAGCGGGACAACUGCUGUGCUUCUGCUGCAGGAGUUACCCAGCUGCCGCAGCAUCACGGUGCGUCACGCUGGGCUCCGGCUGAUGGGCUGGGGCAGCACCUGGCUGCUCUCAGUGGCAGUGGGCUUCCCCUGACCCUGCCUCGCAGUGCAUAGCACUUACAGACAUUUUCUUUCUGGUUGUGACUGGAAGCUGUAGAACGGUGUUAUCUUUCGCAUUCGAUGGCAGCAAUCUGGAGCUGUAGCAGUGCUGCUGUAUGAGUUAAGGAACAUAAACUGGUCUGUGGGCAUCGGGGUAGAGGCCAAGCAGGGAGAGGGCCACGUGCAGCUGUGUGCCAUCACCUUUGUGCCACUCCUUCCCACAGAAUGCAGCCCAUCACAGGCUCCUUCCUGCCCCAUCCCCAGCACUUGCUCACGCUUCUUAAAUCUCCUUGGUGAUGGUACUGUGGCUUGUCUGCAGAUCAGAAGUUCUCAGCAGGUGCGGAUCUUGCCUAGAAUUCUCUUUCUCCUCAAGCUUCGUGCUGUUAGCCCCAAAAUGUGCGAGAGGGCCUACACAGAUUUUUCAGCAGUAGCAAAGAGAUGGGGCAAUAACCCCUCGUGCAUCCUGCACGCCUCGCACGGCGCCUGCUGCUCCGCGGCGGGGCUGGAGCAGCGCUGCACACGUGUGACCGCGGGGCCGGGCUGCAGUGCCACGAGCCGCCCCGGCAGCUCGGGGCUGAGCACAGCAAUGGGAGCAGCGGGUGGAGAUGACCAAAGGGGCUGUGUUGUCACGGCCCCACUAAAAAGCCCACGACUCCUGAAAGCCUUGCACUAUUUGAGGUUUCGUUGGCUUCCUUCAUAAACUUUUCAGCUUUUAGUUUAAUUCGUCAA